UUUAAUUUUGCGGUAGCGUAAAUCAUCACAAUAGCGUUUAAUCGCAUUGUAUCGCCUUCUUUGGUUACCUCGCUACCUUUGGUUCCUCGCGCUUGCCGCGGUCGAAUUCCGGCCACCCGUAUGCUUAGUCCGUUUUCAAUUCGCGACAGUGGUACCACGGCCACUGAAAGGAAUUUCUCCGUCGCGCGGUGUUCGUUCCCUCCCCCUACCAAUUUCUGGUUUCCGUUCUGAUUCUCGCUGUGACUGUCAAAGGCGAAAUGGCUGCAUGUUCUUUGAUGGAAAAUUUGUGCAUUAUUUGAAGCAUCCGCAAGGGAUACUUUUUCAUCGAGGCUCUAAAUAAUUCUCUAGUGUAGUGUGGUUGUCUGGAUACCGUAUUUUCUCGUUUGAUGGAGAAUUAAACUAUUUUGGGAAAUAGACAGCACAUUUCGACUUUACGAGCUGAAGGUACAGAAGUUGAGCCCGUUUUAUUAAUCGAAGCUAUCAGUUUCCGUCAGUAGAAGGCCCUCGUCGAGAGUGGAGGUUCGACCUCCCUUCUGUGGAAAAAAACCCUUAGUAAAAAGGGUUUUUUUUUCUGCUUCCUCUUUCAUCACCUCCGUCCUUGGGAUGUUUAUUUUCUGCUUCCCCACGUCGACUGUGACGAGUUUGAUUGUUGUUGGCGAAACCCCUGCUUGGUGAACUAUCACCCAUACGCCCCAUGUGGUUUGGUGGACCUUGGCGCGGACGUCCUUCGAUUUAGACAGCUAGAACUUCACCCCUCGAUCCCGAGACAGGGCGACCCUGUACCAGUAACACCCCAGCAGUCAUACCGAGUGAAAAAACUGAUAAGUAUAGCGAGUAGUUAAGGUUUUGUUGGCAACGUCUUGUUAAUGUACUGUUUGUUCCUUUAUAUACCUAAUUUGUCAUUAUUUACAUAUACGGAGUGUCUACCUUGCGAGACCCUCUCGUUAGUUAUUGUUUGUGCCAUUAGAUACAUUAUUUGUCAUUAUUUACAUUUACAGAGUGUCUACCUUGCGAGACCCUCUUGUUAAUUACUGUUUGCGACAUUAUAUACACCAUUUGUCAUUAUUUACAUAUACAGAGUGUCUACCUUGCGAGACUCUCUUGUUAAUUACUGUUUGUGACAUUAUAUACAUCAUUUGUCAUUAUUCACACCUACAGAGUGUCUACCUUACGAGGCCAUUCCGCUAAUUAACCGUAGUAUAUUCUAUUUAUUAUUCACUAAUAAAUUGUUUGUUGGGGAA